ensembl:lncRNA novel transcript
AAAGUACAGUGAGGGUUGGGAAUCAGUACAAUACUACCUAGUGCUGCUACUGUUGUCCAAUACAAGGAUGUAAUAUUUGAAUUAGCCAACAAUUAUCCUUCUUGAUAGUAGUAUAAACAACCCUCACCUAUGAAUAUUCUCAUUAAUUUUUUUCCAUGCUACAGACUUUGGUUGGUAUGUGAUCUUUGCCAACUAUAACUAAUGACUUAGAAAGAGAUGUGGGUUCUAGUCCUGAUCUGUCCAUUUGUGAACCUAUUCUAAUUACUCCCACCAGCUAGGCCUGAAUCAUUACCUAUGAAAUGCUGGUGUUGGAUUAAAUAUCUAGGACCUUUUCUAACACUGUAACAUUAUAACCAGGAUGUUUUACAAAUUAAAAAUAAGUAAGUUUUUUACUUAUUUAUCCAGUUUAGUUCCAGUAGUUGUGACUAUUCUCAAUAGCCAUAGGAAUCAUGCUAAAUUCCAUGAAGGUACACAGAAUGUAUUUCCUCAUUAGGAACAAUAUUCAAAGUUAUUGUGAAUGUCACAAGAUGCUGAGGAAAUGCCAAAGCAACCACAUUUUUUCAGACCUGAUGCUACUGUAGCAACAGACAUUCAUGGGGGAAAUGCACUUGGUGAAUAAUUGUAAUUAAAGUAUCAAUUAAAAAACUUA